rnacentral:rRNA from 1 species
AUUGAACGCUGGCGGCAGGCCUAACACAUGCAAGUCGAACGGUAACAGGAAGAAGCUUGCUUCUUUGCUGACGAGUGGCGGACGGGUGAGUAAUGUCUGGGAAACUGCCUGAUGGAGGGGGAUAACUACUGGAAACGGUAGCUAAUACCGCAUAACGUCGCAAGACCAAAGAGGGGGACCUUCGGGCCUCUUGCCAUCGGAUGUGCCCAGAUGGGAUUAGCUAGUAGGUGGGGUAACGGCUCACCUAGGCGACGAUCCCUAGCUGGUCUGAGAGGAUGACCCGCCACACUGGAGCUGAGACACGGUCCAGACUCCUACGGGAGGCAGCAGUGGGGAAUAUUGCACAAUGGGCGCAAGCCUGAUGCAGCCAUGCCGCGUGUAUGAAGAAGGCCUUCGGGUUGUAAAGUACUUUCAGCGGGGAGGAAGGGAGUAAAGUUAAUACCUUUGCUCAUUGACGUUACCCGCAGAAGAAGCACCGGCUAACUCCGU